rnacentral:rRNA from 1 species
UGAACGCUGGCGGCGUGCCUAAUACAUGCAAGUCGCGCGAACAGACGCGGAGCUUGCUCCUCUGACGUUAGCGGCGGACGGGUGAGUAACACGUGGAUAACCUACCUAUAAGACUGGGAUAACUUCGGGAAACCGGAGCUAAUACCGGAUAAUAUAUUGAACCGCAUGGUUCAAUAGUGAAAGACGGUUUUGCUGUCACUUAUAGAUGGAUCCGCGCCGCAUUAGCUAGUUGGUAAGGUAACGGCUUACCAAGGCAACGAUGCGUAGCCGACCUGAGAGGGUGAUCGGCCACACUGGAACUGAGACACGGUCCAGACUCCUACGGGAGGCAGCAGUAGGGAAUCUUCCGCAAUGGGCGAAAGCCUGACGGAGCAACGCCGCGUGAGUGAUGAAGGUCUUCGGAUCGUAAAACUCUGUUAUUAGGGAAGAACAAAUGUGUAAGUAACUAUGCACGUCUUGACGGUACCUAAUCAGAAAACCACGGCUAACUACGUG